CGGACGGGUGAGUAAUGCUUGGGAAUCUACCUAGUAGUGGGGGAUAACGUGUGGAAACGCACGCUAAUACCGCAUACGUCCUACGGGAGAAAGCAGGGGAUCUUCGGACCUUGCGCUAUUGGAUGAGCCCAAGUCAGAUUAGCUAGUUGGUGAGGUAAUGGCUCACCAAGGCGACGAUCUGUAGCUGGUCUGAGAGGAUGAUCAGCCACACUGGGACUGAGACACGGCCCAGACUCC
rnacentral:rRNA from 1 species